CCUCGCUAAGAGGAGGCGCAGCGUUGGGGAAACCUCCAGGGUGGAAUACGGUGAAUAUGCAAAGAAUCUGUUCCAUGAUGGCUCCCUAAGCAGCAUGCCCUGCAGCCUUGGAUGCUGGCAGCAGCAGGCCUGCACUGCCCCUUGCUGACAAGCUCACCAGCCGUGGAACAAGAAGUGCUGCAGAGAAUGGACAUCCUGGGGCUGGGAACAUUCUCUCCUCUCAUCCAGGCUCCCGGAUCACCCCAGGCACAGCCAUCUGCAGAGUGCCUUCCUGCAGUUCUACCUGAGGCUCGAGCAUAAUCCUUCAUACUGGCAAGGAGGGUAUGGAAGGGUGAACAGUGCAGGAGCAGUACCUCCAUGCUGCCCUUCUGUGUCCCCUCUCUGUGGCUGGUUCCCCGGCCUCUUUCCAGACCAUGUGAGUGACAUGGGCAGUGUAGCAAGAGUGAUGUGGAAAGAUACAAAUGCCUUGCAAAUAAAAAUGAAUUGCUUCUCUCCCCAUGAUUUAACUGUAUUGAAUCUGAUGCAUGUCCCUGUAUUAGGCUACUUGUCAUUUUCCC
ensembl:lncRNA